AUCCAGCCACUGAGUCUCAAAUAGAACGAAACGCGUGUCCUGGAU
rfam:Schistosoma mansoni strain Puerto Rico chromosome W, complete genome